CCUACGGGUGGCUGCAGUGGGGAAUAUUGCACAAUGGGCGCAAGCCUGAUGCAGCCAUGCCGCGUGUGUGAAGAAGGCCUUCGGGUUGUAAAGCACUUUCAGCGGGGAGGAAGGCGGUGAGGUUAAUAACCUCAUCGAUUGACGUUACCCGCAGAAGAAGCACCGGCUAACUCCGUGCCAGCAGCCGCGGUAAUACGGAGGGUGCAAGCGUUAAUCGGAAUUACUGGGCGUAAAGCGCACGCAGGCGGUCUGUCAAGUCGGAUGUGAAAUCCCCGGGCUCAACCUGGGAACUGCAUUCGAAACUGGCAGGCUAGAGUCUUGUAGAGGGGGGUAGAAUUCCAGGUGUAGCGGGGAAAUGCGUAGAGAUCUGGAGGAAUACCGGUGGCGAAGGCGGCCCCCUGGACAAAGACUGACGCUCAGGUGCGAAAGCGUGGGGAGCAAACAGGGUUAGAUACCCUGGUAGUC
rnacentral:rRNA from 1 species